CAUUAACAGCUAUAGAUUAAAGGUAUAGGUGAGGUCCAUUAACAGAUAUGGAUUAAAGGUAUAGGUGAGGUCCAUUAACAGCUAUGGAUUAAAGGUAUAGGUGAGGUCCAUUAACAGCUAUGGAUUAAAGGUAUAGGUGAGGUCCAUUAACAGAUAUGGAUUAAAGGUAUAGGUGAGGUCCAUUAACAGCUAUGGGUUAAAGGUAUAGGUGAGGUCCAUUAACAGCUAUGGAUUAAAGGUAUAGGUGAGGUCCAUUAACAGCUAUGGAUUAAAGGUAUAGGUGAGGUCCAUCAACAGCUAUGGAUUAAAGGUAUAGGUGAGGUCCAUCAACAGCUAUUGAUUAAAGGUAUAGGUGCGGUCCAUCAACAAUUAUGGAUUAGAGGUAUAGGUAUGGUCCAUCAACAGCUAUGGAUAAGAGGAAUAGGUGAGGUUCAUUAACAGUUAUGGAUUAGAGGUAUAGGUAUGGUCCAUCAACAGCUAUGGAUAAGAGGAAUAGGUGAGGUUCAUUAACAGUUAUGGAUUAGAGGUAUAGGUGAGGUCCAUCAACAGCUAUGGAUUAAAGGUAUAGGUGAGGUCCAUCAACAGCUAUGGAUUAGAGGAAUAGGCGAGGUCCAUCAACAGCUAUGGAUUAGAGGAAUAGGUGAGGUCCAUCAACAGCUAUGGAUUAAAGUUAUAGGCGAGGUCCAUCAACAGCUAUGGAUUAAAGGUAUAGGUGAGGUCCAUCAACAGUUAUGGAUUAGAGGUAUAGGUAUGGUCCAUCAACAGCUAUGGAUUAGAGGUAUAGGUGAGGUCCAUCAACAGCUAUGGAUUAAAGGUAUAGGUGAGGUCCAUCAACAGUUAUGGAUUAGAGGUAUAGGUGAGGUCCAUCAACAGUUAUGGAUUAGAGGUAUAGGUGAGGUCCUUCAACAGCUAUAGUUUAAAGGUAUAGGUGAGGUCCAUCAACAGCUAUGGAUUAAAGGUAUAGGUGAGGUCCAUCAACAGCUAUGGAUUAGAGGAAUAGGUGAGGUCCAUCAACAGUUAUGGAUUAAAGGUAUAGGUGAGGUCCAUCAACAAUUAUGGAUUAGAAGUAUAGGUAUGGUCCAUCAACAGCUAUGGAUAAGAGGAAUAGGUGAGGUUCAUUAACAGUUAUGGAUUAGAGGUAUAGGUGAGGUCCAUCAACAGCUAUGGAUUAAAGGUAUAGGUGAGGUCCAUCAACAGCUAUGGAUUAGAGGAAUAGGUGAGGUUCAUUAACAGUUAUGGAUUAGAGGUAUAGGUGAGGUCCAUCCACAGCUAUGGAUUAGAGGUAUAGGUGAGGUUCAUUAACAGUUAUGGAUUAGAGGUAUAGGUGAGGUCCAUCCACAGCUAUGGAUUAGAGGUAUAGGUGAGGUCCAUCCACAGCUAUGGAUUAGAGGAAUAGGUGAGGUCCAUCAACAGUUAUGGAAUAAAGGUAUAGGUGAGGUCCAUCAACAAUUAUGGAUUAGAAGUAUAGGUAUGGUCCAUCAACAGCUAUGGAUUAAGGGUAUAGGUGAGGUCCAUCAACAGCUAUGGAUAAGAGGAAUAGGUGAGGUCCAUCAACAGCUAUGGAUUAAAGGUAUAGGUGAGCUCUAUCAACAGCUAUGGAUUAGAGGUAUAGGUGAGGUCCAUCGACAGCUAUGGAUUAGAGGAAUAGGCGAGGUCCAUCAACAGCUAUGGAUUAGAGGAAUAGGUGAGGUCCAUCAACAGCUAUGGAUUAAAGUUAUAGGCGAGGUCCAUCAACAGCUAUGGAUUAAAGGUAUAGGUGAGGUCCAUCAACAGUUAUGGAUUAGAGGUAUAGGUAUGGUCCAUCAACAGCUAUGGAUUAUAGGUAUAGGUGAGGUCCAUCAACAGCUAUGGAUUAAAGGUAUAGGUGAGGUCCAUCAACAGUUAUGGAUUAGAGGUAUAGGUGAGGUCCAUCAACAGUUAUGGAUUAGAGGUAUAGGUGAGGUCCUUCAACAGCUAUAGUUUAAAGGUAUAGGUGAGGUCCAUCAACAGCUAUGGAUUAAAGGUAUAGGUGAGGUCCAUCAACAGCUAUGGAUUAGAGGAAUAGGUGAGGUCCAUCAACAGUUAUGGAUUAAAGGUAUAGGUGAGGUCCAUCAACAAUUAUGGAUUAGAAGUAUAGGUAUGGUCCAUCAACAGCUAUGGAUAAGAGGAAUAGGUGAGGUUCAUUAACAGUUAUGGAUUAGAGGUAUAGGUGAGGUCCAUCAACAGCUAUGGAUUAAAGGUAUAGGUGAGGUCCAUCCACAGCUAUGGAUUAGAGGAAUAGGUGAGCUCUAUCAACAGUUAUGGAUUAGAGGUAUAGGUGAGGUCCAUCAACAGCUAUGGAUUACAUGUAUAGGUGAGGUCCAUCAUCAGCUAUGGAUAAGAGGAAUAGGUGAGGUCCAUCAACAGCUAUGGAUAAGAGGAAUAGGUGAGGUCCAUCAACAGCUAUGGAUUAAAGGUAUAGGUGAGGUCCAUCAACAGCUAUGGAUUAGAGGUAUAGGUGAGGUCCAUUAACAGCUAUGGAUUAGAGGAAUAGGUAUGGUCCAUCAACAGUUAUUGAUUAUAGGAAUAGGUGAGGUCCAUUAACAGUUAUGUAUUAGAGGUAUAGGUAUGGUCCACCAACAGCUAUGGAUUAGAGGAAUAGGUAUGGUCCAUCAACAGCUAUGGAUAAGAGGAAUAGGUGAGGUUCAUUAACAGUUAUGGAUUAGAGGUAUAGGUGAGGUCCAUCAACAGCUAUGGAUUAAAGGUAUAGGUGAGGUCCAUCAACAGCUAUGGAUUAGAGGAAUAGGUGAGGUCCAUCAACAGCUAUGGAUUAAAGUUAUAGGUGAGGUCCAUCAACAGCUAUGGAUUAAAGGUAUAGGUGAGGUCCAUCAACAGUUAUGGAUUAGAGGUAUAGGUAUGGUCCAUCAACAGCUAUGGAUUAGAGGUAUAGGUGAGGUCCAUUAACAGUUAUGGAUAAGAGGAAUAGGUGUGGUCCAUUAACAUCUAUGGAUUAGAGGAAUAGGUGAGGUCCAUCAACAGUUAUGGAUUAAAGGUAUAGGUGAGGUCCAUCAACAGCUAUGGAUUAAAGGUAUAGGUGAGCUCUAUCAACAGCUAUCGAUUAUAGGUAUAGGUGAGCUCUAUCAACAGCUAUGGAUUAGAGGUAUAGGUGAGGUCCAUCAACAGUUAUGGAUUAGAGGUAUAGGUUAGGUCCAUCAACAGCUAUGGA